rnacentral:lncRNA from 1 species
GCCAUAUUUAAUCACUUAUUAACCGUUACCUAUAAACAAUAAAUAUAAAUUAGUGAUUUGUGUUUAAAAUAUUAAGUACAUAUGGAACAACAUUCAUCUCGGAUGUGUGACAACUGGCUGCUGUUGCCACCUUCGAUCCGUAUAUUCAGAACUUUCCCUAAUAUCACGGAUUUGCACACACAAAAGUUGAGUGACUCUGCUGCGCGGACUCACGGAAUUCAUUAGCAUGCAAAUUUCAAAGUGCAGCAGUUGGGCGGCAGCAAUCUCUCUCUUUUAUUCCAGCGGGGGCUAUAAAAUCCUCAGAGAUAAGUCUAUAUUUAUGCACAAAUGCAGAUAGUGGAACAAAGUAUU